GGUAAGGGCAUUUGGUGAAUGCCUUGGCAAUCAGAGGCGAAGAAGGACGUGAUACACUGCGAAAAGCCGUGGGGAGUUGUGAAUAAGCAUUGAUCCGCGGAUGUCCGAAUGGGGAAACCCACAGAGCAAUCUGUAUCUUAAAAUGAAUACAUAGUUUUAAGAGGCGAACGCAGGGAACUGAAACAUCUAAGUACCUGUAGGAAAGGAAAUCAACCGAGACUCCGAAAGUAGUGGCGAGCGAAAUCGGACCAGCCGAUGGAUAAAUCAUUAAGAAUCAGAACAGCGUGGAAAAGCUGACCGUAGAGGGUGAUAGUCCCGUACGAGUAGAAAGAUGAUUUAUUCUUGAGUAGGGCGGAGCACGAGAAAUUCUGUCUGAAAAUGGGGAGACCACUCUCCAAGGCUAAGUACUACUGAUUGACCGAUAGUGAACAAGUACCGUGAGGGAAAGGUGAAAAGCACCCCGAUAAGGGGAGUGAAAAAGAACCUGAAACCGAAUGCUUACAAGCAGUUGGAGGGGCUUUGAGCCCUGACAGCGUACCUUUUGUAUAAUGGGUCAGCGAGUUAGUUUAUGUAGCAAGCUUAAGCCGAUAGGUGUAGGCGCAGCGAAAGCGAGUGUUAAUAGCGCGAUAAGUUACAUGAAUUAGACCCGAAACCGGGUGAUCUAGCCAUGAACAGGCUGAAGGUUGGGUAACACCAACUGGAGGGCCGAACCCACUUCUGUUGAAAAAGAAGGGGAUGAUUUGUGGCUAGGGGUGAAAGGCCAAUCAAACCCGGAAAUAGCUGGUUCUCCGCGAAAACUAUUUAGGUAGUGCGGUGAGCGGACACCUUGAGGGGUAGAGCACUGGAAGAACUAGGGGGGAGCGAUCCUUACCAAAUUUUACCAAACUCCGAAUACUCAAGAGUGAUACUCACCAGACAGACAUUAGGUGCUAAGGUCUAGUGUCGAGAGGGAAAGAGCCCAGACCGUCAAUUAAGGUCCCCAAAUUAUGGCUAAGUGGUAAAGGAAGUGAAUUGUCCAAAACAGUCAGGAGGUUGGCUUAGAAGCAGCCAUCCUUUAAAGAAAGCGUAAUAGCUCACUGAUCUAAACAAGACGAUUUGCGCCGAAGAUGUAACGGGGCUAAAGCCAUAUACCGAAAUUACGGAUUUGCACUUUUGUGCAAGUGGUAGCGGAGCGUUCUGUAGGCCUGCGAAGGUGAACCGUAAGGUUUGCUGGAGGUAUCAGAAGUGAGAAUGCUGACAUGAGUAGCGAAAAGAAGAGUGAGAGACUCUUCCGCUGAAAGUCCAAGGUUUCCUGCGUAAAGCUAAUCUGCGCAGGGUUAGUCGGCCCCUAAGGCGAGGCAGAGAUGCGUAGCUGAUGGGAAUCAGGUUAAUAUUCCUGAACCAACUAGGAAGUGACGGAUUGAGUAAAUUGUAAAUGAUUAUUGGAUUUUGUUUGCAGUGAAUCAGUCCCAGGAAAUAGCCCUAGUAUAGACCGUACCCUAAACCGACACAGGUGGACAGGUAGAGUAUACCAAAGCGCUUGAGAGAACUAUGUUGAAGGAACUAGGCAAAUUACUUGCGUAACUUCGGGAUAAGCAAGCCCCAUGAUAAGGCAACUUAAUGUGGGGGGCACAAACUAGGGGGUAGCGACUGUUUACUAAAAACACAGGACUCUGCUAAAUUGAAAGAUGAAGUAUAGGGUCUGACGCCUGCCCGGUGCUGGAAGGUUAAGGAGAGAUGUGCAAGCAUUGAACUGAAGCCCCAGUAAACGGCGGCCGUAACUAUAACGGUCCUAAGGUAGCGAAAUUCCUUGUCGGGUAAGUUCCGACCUGCACGAAUGGCAUAACGAUGGCCACACUGUCUCCUCCCGAGACUCAGUGAAGUUGAAAUGUUUGUGAUGAUGCAAUCUACCCGCGGCUAGACGGAAAGACCCCAUGAACCUUUACUGCAGCUUUGCAUUGAACUGUGAACCGAUUUGUGUAGGAUAGGUGGGAGGCAGAGAAGAGGCCACGCCAGUGGUCUUGGAGCCGACCUUGAAAUACCACCCUGAUUUGUUUGCGGUUCUAACCACGGACAGUGAUCCUGUCUUGGGACCGUGCAUGGUAGGCAGUUUGACUGGGGCGGUCUCCUCCUAAAGGGUAACGGAGGAGUACGAAGGUACGCUAGGUACGGUCGGAAAUCGUGCUGAUAGUGCAAUGGCAAAAGCGUGCUUGACUGCGAGAGCAACAACUCGAGCAGAUGCGAAAGCAGGUCAUAGUGAUCCGGUGGCUCUGAAUGGAAGGGCCAUCGCUCAACGGAUAAAAGGUACUCUGGGGAUAACAGGCUGAUACCGCCCAAGAGUUCAUAUCGACGGCGGUGUUUGGCACCUCGAUGUCGGCUCAUCGCAUCCUGGGGCUGUAGUCGGUCCCAAGGGUAUGGCUGUUCGCCAUUUAAAGAGGUACGUGAGCUGGGUUUAAAACGUCGUGAGACAGUUUGGUCCCUAUCUGCCGUGGGCGUUGGAAGAUUGACGGGGGCUGCUCCUAGUACGAGAGGACCGGAGUGGACGCACCUCUGGUGUACCGGUUGUCACGCCAGUGGCAUUGCCGGGUAGCUAAGUGCGGAAGAGAUAACCGCUGAAAGCAUCUAAGCGGGAAACUUGCCUGAAGAUGAGUCUUCCCGGAGGUAAAACCUCCCUCAAGAGUCGUCCGAGACCAGGACGUCGAUAGGUCAGGUGUGUAAGCGCUGUGAGGCGUUGAGCUAACUGAUACUAAUUGCUCGUGAGGCUUGAU
rnacentral:rRNA from 1 species